GCCCCACCUUCAACACUGGGGAUCAAAUUUCAAUGUGAGACUUGGAGGAGCCAAACAAACCAUAUCUAAACCAUAGCAGUGGCAUCCUUUGAACUCACGGAUCCAGUCAUAACUGAAGUUCCAUCUACACCUGGGGUCUUCAGACCCAGGCUCUGGAAAAGAUCCUGUUACUUACAAGCAAAAGAAAUUCUGCCUCUUACCCUCAGCAUGUGAGUACUCAGAAGACAGCCGUCUGCAACUCAGAAAGAAGUCUCACCAAAAACUGAAGCCUACCAGGACCUUGAUCUUGGACUUCCCUGCCAGCUAGAACUGCUAAAAUGACGACCCCAGACGCUGGAGACAGAGAGGUGGGCAGCACCUGCAGUUUCCUGGCGAAACGAGGUGACAUGAAGAAGAAAGAGAGAAAAGUGGACAUCUCCUUUUGUGAUCCCAUCC
rnacentral:lncRNA from 1 species